rnacentral:rRNA from 1 species
GACAUGCAGAGAACUUUCCAGAGAUGGAUUGGUGCCUUCGGGAACUCUGACACAGGUGCUGCAUGGCUGUCGUCAGCUCGUGUCGUGAGAUGUUGGGUUAAGUCCCGUAACGAGCGCAACCCUUGUCCUUAGUUACCAGCACGUUAUGGUGGGCACUCUAAGGAGACUGCCGGUGACAAACCGGAGGAAGGUGGGGAGUGACGUCAAGUCAUCAUGGCCCUUACGGCCUGGGCUACACACGUGCUACAAUGGUCGGUACAGAGCGCAGCGAGGCCGCGAGGCGGAGCGAAUCGCUUAAAGCCGGUCCCAGUACGGAUUGGAGUCUGCAACCCGACUCCAUGAAGUUGGAAUCGCUAGUAAUCGCGCAUCAGCAUGGCGCGGUGAAUACGUUCCCGGGCCUU